GAGAGAGAGAGAGAGAGAGAGAGAGAGAGAGACAGAGAGACAGAGAGACAGAGAGACAGAGAGACAGAGAGACAGAGAGACAGAGAGACAGAGAGAGAGAGAGACAGAGAGACAGAGAGAGAGAGAGAGAGAGAGAGAGAGAGAGAGAGAGAGAGAGAGAGAGAUGGCGUGUGUAUGAGUGGUUGAGUGGCCAACAUAUAACCUGCCACUGGGUGCAUUUUUGGACAGACUGCACACCUCUGGACGACUACUGUUUCAGACUGAUAGCAGCACCGCAGACCCUCAUCAUCAGACAGACACAGGACACUGAUCCAAUCUUGGCAAAAAUGAGCUUGGCUCGGAUCCACGAUAAACACAAGCUAAAGAAAUACUGGGAGGAGAAAAUCGAAAGUCACGGCGAUAUGAUGGGCAGUGAGGAAUCCAGAAUGAAGAGCAGUGCUUUAUCAAAGCUGCGGGACGAGUGGCUCAGGAGGCUGAAGCUUCGGGAACCAACCACAACUGGAGAGUUUCGAAGAGAAACACAUCAGGAGGGCCAAGAUGUCCCAACAGGCCGUCAAGAUACCCAGUCGAUGAUAUUCGAAUCUACAUCGUUCUAAGCCAUCUGACUGAGGUCAUGAUACGUGGAUUAGCCUGGGUGCCAUCUCUGUUCAGAUACUAUAUUCCACUCAUUGCAACUCCUGUCAUUUUCCAAAGACAAUCUUUGGCAAAUGACAGGAGUGACAAGGAGUGGAAUAUUAGCUAAAAAAGACUGGGGGACUCAGACUGAUGAUGUAGGGCUAACUAGGACUAGCUUCUCCAUUUCAGAUGAUGACAUUAAGACUAUAGAUUGAGGGGAAAUACUGUAACUGAAGUGAAGUUUACUUCUUGUGAGGGAGACGGUAUGGCAGAGAGUCAAAUGGAUGGGAUGUCGCCGAAUGAUUAGUUGCAGAGCCAUGCUGUACAGACUUUGUCAUUAACACUCAUUUUGUAGUUUUGAGGCGACCAUCUGUUGUGCAGUAAAAUAAGUGCCGGGGAGUAUGUGAAGACUUGACUGUACAUCAGAGUGACAGUCGUGGUGACAGGUGGGGUAAGUAUAUUCAUUGUUUUACUUUGUUCGGAGUGUCGGAGAAAUAUACAACGUGAUCGGGAGGAAACAUGAUUGACAGAAUGAUUGACAGAAUAGGAUUGACAGAAGAUUGACAGAACAUGUGAAGUUUUUUUCAAGAAAGAAAAGUAUGGAAAGUACAGAGAAACCGUAGAAAUGUGUCAAUGUCCCAAUUUCCGGGCUUGAAUAUAAAUAGAAUUUCAUAAUGUUUAACAUAAUUUCUCUGUGUGAUUAUUGCAUUAUUCUGUGUAGAAUUCAACUCCAGACUCAGUGGCAACAUUGAGAGAGGGGCAAGCAUCUAUUCUGAGGCAUUUGAAAUUGAAAGAACUCCUCUGAGUAAAUAAAAAUGCAUGUGGACAGUU